rnacentral:rRNA from 1 species
AGAGUUUGAUCCUGGCUCAGAACGAACGCUGGCGGCAGGCUUAACACAUGCAAGUCGAACGCCCCGCAAGGGGAGUGGCAGACGGGUGAGUAACGCGUGGGAACGUCCCCCCUCGGUUCGGAAUAACUCAGGGAAACUUGAGCUAAUACCGGAUACGUCCGAGAGGAGAAAGAUUUAUCGCCGAGGGAUCGGCCCGCGUCUGAUUAGCUAGUUGGUAGGGUAACGGCCUACCAAGGCGACGAUCAGUAGCUGGUCUGAGAGGAUGACCAGCCACACUGGGACUGAGACACGGCCCAGACUCCUACGGGAGGCAGCAGUGGGGAAUCUUGGACAAUGGGCGAAAGCCUGAUCCAGCCAUGCCGCGUGAGUGAUCUGAAGGCCUUAGGGUUGUAAAGCUCUUUCGACGGGGACGAUAAUGACGGUACCCGUAGAAGAAGCCCCGGCUAACUUCGUGCCAGCAGCCGCGGUAAUACGAAGGGGGCUAGCGUUGUUCGGAAUUACUGGGCGUAAAGCGCACGUAGGCGGACAUUUAAGUCGGGGGUGAAAGCCUUGGGCUCAACCCAAGAAUUGCCUUCGAUACUGGAUGUCUCGAGACCGGGAGAGGUGAGUGGAAUUCCGAGUGUAGAGGUGAAAUUCGUAGAUAUUCGGAAGAACACCAGUGGCGAAGGCGGCUCACUGGCCCGGUUCUGACGCUGAGAGGCGAAAGCGUGGGGAGCAAACAGGAUUAGAUACCCCGGUAGUCC